rnacentral:tRNA from 1 species
AGCACUAUGUGGGGGAUAAUCCAGUUACUUUGAUGUAGUAAAGAUCGAAUUUAUUCUAGUGCAU